GGUAAGUCUGCAUUUCAACAGUUUCCAUGACAACUCUCUAAAAUUACAAAACAUGCAGUUGUCCUUUAAUAUAAUGCAAGUCUGUGUUGUCUUUUAACAGUGAGAGGCAUCUGAGACGAGUUUUAAAACUUCUAGGGUUGAAGCGAAGAUGCCCCCAACGACCUUUUACUGAAAUCCACAAAGCAGUGGAGAGUGAGAUGAAACAGUGUUCUCCUGAACAAGGAAUCAGGGCAAUGGUAAAGCGGGUAAGGGAUGUCAGAGGAGUGCGGCCUUGUUACAGAGACGAUGUUGCUAAUAUAAUGAGGGAUAUGGAUGCAAGUGGUCUUCAGAGGAGAUCUCCUGGAAAGAAGAAAAUUCCCCGUCGGAAUUACAUCAGCCGUGGUCCAAAUGACACCUGGCACAUUGAUGGCAAUGAUAAACUGAAGUUCUUUGGAAUGUGGAUACAUUUGGGGAUUGA